AAGUCCCGCAACGAGCGCAACCCACGUCUUUAGUUGCCAGCAUUCAGUUGGGCACUCUAGAGAGACCGCCGGUGAUAAACCGGAGGAAGGUGUGGAUGACGUCAAGUCAUCAUGCCCCUUACAUCCUGGGCUACACACGUACUACAAUGCUACGGACAAAGGGCAGCAAACUCGCGAGAGCUAGCAAAUCCCAUAAACCGUGGCUCAGUUCAGAUCGUAGGCUGCAACUCGCCUACGUGAAGGAGGAAUCGCUAGUAAUCGCAGGUCAGCAUACUGCGGUGAAUACGUUCCCGGGCCUUGUACACACCGCCCGUCACACCAUGGAAGUUGGCCACGCCCGAAGCCGUUACUCCAACCCUUGUGGAGGAGGACGUCGAAG
rnacentral:rRNA from 1 species